rnacentral:misc_RNA from 1 species
AAACAAUAUGUUGGAGCUACACAUACACAGUUGCGCUGCCAGGCUGUUUUCAAUGAUACAGAAGAAUUUGUAUUAUCAAUUGAUGAAUCUCUAAAUGAGAUUGUUGCAUGGGAUUCUCUGACAACUGAAAUAGUGGCUAGAUGGCCCUCCAACCAUAUUGGUGCACCCCGUUGGCUUGAGCAUUCCCCAGUAGAAGCUGCAUUUGUGUCUUGUGGGAUUGACCGAUCCAUUCGGCACUGGACUUAGUGCCACUACUGAGCCAGCAGCAUUAGUAAAGCCAGAGAUAUGCCAGUGUAAUUUAAUAAGCUUGCUGUAACCUGUAAGAAACUCUGAGCACACUUGUUUGUUGUAUACUUGAGAGAAGAGAAAGAGGCAUUAGGAGAGGUCAACCUGGCAAAACUCUUAACCUCUUCUCGGCUGUGCAGUGGGCUAAGUAAAUGGAAAUGAUUUUUGUCUAUACAUCCUCUCUGCCUCGAUUCUUUCCUUAGUUGGUGAACGAAAGAAGAGGCAAUGAGCUAUAAAGCAGAUUUCAAGUUGGUCCAAUGGUCAGGCAUGAUGGUUAAUCUCCUAGCUGACCUUUGCUGAUCAACCAAAUUGCUUUUAAGGGAAGACCGGAUAAUGCUUGCUGGACAUGUAUUUAGUUUUUUUUUUUAUCUGCCCGGCAGGAUUUCUUUCCAUGUUUUUGUAAUUGAUUUGAAAUUAUUACACAAUGUGGACAUAAGCUUGAUGUUCAUUUGACAUUCUUAGUAGCAACCUUG